AAAAUGCGGGAAGCAGGGUGAUCCUAUGCUGCCAAGAAAAUCUUCUAGCGAGGUUCGAGCCGCCCGUACCCCAAACCGACUCAGGUGGUUAGGUAGAGAAUACCAAGGCGAUCGAGUGAAUCGUGGUUAAGGAAUUCGGCAAAAUGCCCCCGUAACUUCGGGAGAAGGGGGGCCCAGACUCUGAAGUCACUUGCUGACUAGGGGAAAGGGCCGCAGAGACCAGGGAGAAGCGACUGUUUACUAAAAACACAGGUCCGUGCGAAGUCGCAAGACGAUGUAUACGGACUGACGCCUGCCCGGUGCUGGAAGGUUAAGAGGACGGGUUAGAUCUUCGGGUCGAAGCUCAGAAUUUAAGCCCCAGUAAACGGCGGUGGUGACUAUAACCAUCCUAAGGUAGCGAAAUUCCUUGUCGGGUAAGUUCCGACCUGCACGAAUGGCGUAACGACUUCUCCACUGUCUCAACCGCGAACUCGGCGAAAUUGCACUACGAGUAAAGAUGCUCGUUACGCGCAGCAGGACGGAAAGACCCCGGGACCUUCACUAUAGCUUGGUAUUGGUGUUCGGGACGGCUUGUGUAGGAUAGGUGGGAGACUUUGAAGCCGGCACGCCAGUGUCGGUGGAGUCAACGUUGAAAUACCACUCUGGUCGUUCUGGAUGUCUAACCUCGGUCCGUGAUCCGGAUCAGGGACAGUGCCUGGUGGGUAGUUUAACUGGGGCGGUUGCCUCCUAAAAGGUAACGGAGGCGCUCAAAGGUUCCCUCAGCCUGGUUGGCAAUCAGGUGUCGAGUGUAAGUGCACAAGGGAGCUUGACUGCGAGAGAGACAUCUCGAGCAGGGACGAAAGUCGGAACUAGUGACCCGGCGGUGGCUUGUGGAAGCGCCGUCGCUCAACGGAUAAAAGGUACCCCGGGGAUAACAGGCUGAUCUUGCCCAAGAGUCCAUAUCGACGGCAUGGUUUGGCACCUCGAUGUCGGCUCGUCGCAUCCUGGGGGUGGAGUCGCUCCCAAGGGUUGGGCUGUUCGCCCAUUAAAGCGGUACGCGAGCUGGGUUUAGAACGUCGUGAGACAGUUCGGUCCCUAUCCGCUGUGCGCGUAGGAAACUUGAGAAAGGCUGACCCUAGUACGAGAGGACCGGGUUGGACGAACCUCUGGUGUGUCAGUUGUUCUGCCAAGAGCACCGCUGAUUAGCUACGUUCGGAAGUGAUAACCGCUGAAAGCAUCUAAGCGGGAAGCACGUUUCAAGAUGAGGUUUCCAUGGGGCUUGCCCCGAGAGGCUCCCGGCUAGACUACCGGGUUGAUAGGCCAGACGUGGAAGUGCAGUAAUGCAUGUAGCUGACUGGUACUAAUAAGCCGAUAACUUG
rnacentral:rRNA from 1 species